rnacentral:lncRNA from 1 species
UUAGAACAGAGCACAAUUUAAUUGCUUUAGCUAAAAGAUUGCAAAAACAUGAACAUGUUGACAGAAACUAACACAUCAAAAAGAAGUUCUAUGGUAUGCUUUAUAAGUCACAACAAUGUGUGAAUAAAACUUACAAAGUUAAAAAUGUCUUUUCACUAAUCAAAGUUCAAGUCCAGUAGACAAGUUCAUCUAUGAAUCCGUAAUGUUGACUACCUCAAACUUAACUUUCUGGGAAACUGCAUACAUAUCCAUCUUGAGUGAUUGAAAAAGUGGAUGUAUUUCGUUUCCUAAAAACCAUGAUACAGGUUAGAAGUUCAGAACUAAAGUGGAUGUUUUAUUUUGUAGAAACCAUGAAACCAAUGAGAAUUCGACAAAGUAUUCUUGAAACAAACUGAGAUUUAAGUUAAGUAAGAUAACAGUACAAGUAUGAAACUGCAUAAGUGAUAAUCCUGCAUCAUACUCGUAAAUGAAACUAUAAUCUUUCAUAUUUCAAGGCAUAUAUUCAAAUAUUGCACACGAAAACAAAACAAACAAAAAACUGUAAGCAUCAUGCCACCAUGGAAAUCAUGAACCAUGCAUACUCCCCGAAAUGACCAACCUUUCCAAUAUUUUCAUGGGAAGACAUUGGAGAAAACAUCAAAAGGUUGGAAUAUCACGAAGUGCUAGCAGUUAAAUUUUGAGGAAGAAAAUACUAAUGACCAUGGAUCUAAGUGGACAAGCCAAAGGCAACCAAAGAUGAUAGAGAAUCAAAUCAUACCUUCCAAAUCACAACUCUUGCUCAACAAUAACAACCUGAACAUAAAUAACCAGAUUUUUAAAAGGCAGCUAAAUUCCAAUUAAUGUAAGUAAUGUCGUUUCACAUUCCGUAUAGUAUUUAGGACAUCAUUGUGGGAGAAACGAUAUGAUAGGCUCCGAGACAAUAUAAGCAUGUCUCAACAUCUCCUUCCACACACAUGUCCACACUCUCAAC